rnacentral:lncRNA from 1 species
UGCAUGCCCAUAUUAAACAAAAGGCUGGAUCCGCCCCUGGGACUACUUAGAGGAAGUGAUUUACCUGACGACAUGCCAUUAGACAGCGAUGUCUUUUUACCUGACGACAGGCCAUUACACAGCGAUGUCUUUUUACCUGAUCAAAAAACAAAAGACAGCGAUGUCUUUGUACCUGACGACAUGCCAUUAGACAGCGAUGUCUUUAAAGUUCCCCCCGGUCCUAACACUCCCCAACAGGUUCAUAUAACGCAAGGUAACCAUGAAGGCAAUGGAGUGAUUAUUUCAUGGGUGACUCCUUCUGCGCCCUGUUCUAACACAGUUCGCUAUUGGUCUGAGAAUGGAAAAUCGAAGAAGCUAGCAGCUCAUGAUCACACAUAGACAAACCCGCAUGAAUCAAUCUCCUUCAACCCUUCUGCAACACCAUUCACGCUGACUAAAGAAUACCAUCUGAAACAGCCAUGAAACACUCAUAUCAUUCAAGGUUCUAAGGCAUCCCCUAGUUCCAAGAAUUCCAUGAGAUACCUUGUAAGCCAUUGGAGGCAGAUUAUCUGGAUCUUAAGAAAAACAACCAAAAAAACCUCUUGGAAAGUUCAUCUCUUUGGAUUCAAUCGAUUUUCUGUUAUUGCAAUCCUGUUGUUUUCAUAUCGAUUCUCUGUAUUCCUCUACAUGAUUAAUCUGAAAUCCAAUAUGGGUUUAAGAGGAAUCAUGGAGAUUAGUGAGUAAUCACCUUUUGAAUUCAUGGGUUAGGGAGAUUAAGGGUGAUUAGGUUAGAACUAAGAUGUUUUAGUGUAGAUCAUUCUUAAUCCUUGCUAGUAGAGUAUUCAUAAUGCUUCUUCUGAGUUAGCUACUCAAAAGUUGACCUUUAGGCAUUUUCCACCCAGAAGGUGUUUGAUGAAAUGCCUGAGACAACUCUUCUAAGCUUUUAGCAUAUUUUACCGAAGACAUUUGUUGUUAGAAGUGCUAAGAUAGCCUUUAGACUUGCUAGUAAUGACUGCUUUCAUAUUAUUCAACCAAAGACAUUUGUUGUUUGAAAUGUGUUAGUAAAUGAACAUUCAUCUAGACAUAGAGUCUGUUUAGAAUUGUGUUUAAGCUUAAGGUUGAUAGUUUGAUUGUUCGUUUUGCCAUCCUUAGUUCGAAACUUGAUCACCCGAGGUCUAAUUCCUAUGCCCAUGAGUUCUCUUUUCCCUUAGUUAAGAAAGUCGUUUCAUUUAUCGUUUUUAUUAUUCUGCAACUGCAUUAGCGUUAAUCGUUAGUUUAGAAAAUCUUUUUAAUCAUCGAUUGCACUUAGAUUAAGCAAAAUCUCUUAGAAUUGGUUCGAUAAUCUAUUAUAGUACAUCAUUUGUUUUAGGAGCCUCGAAAACUCUUAGCAUCAGCUCUCCAAGCGCGAGAUACGAUUGAUAUUGACCAUCCCAUAGAACACUCUUAUCAAUAUCUCGAGCAAUUGAAUUGUUCCGCACACUCUCCACAUCAAACGUAAUAUUACUGAAACCACGCUUGAGCUUGAGCAUAGAGAUUUGUUGUAAAAGGAGCCGGUACAGUGGCCAAUGCGAGGGACUAGAAAUUGCCACAAUGACCUCUCAAUGAUAUUUUUAUUUAGUUCUGAACAAUUAUUUAUCGAAAAAUUAAUAAAUAUUUAUUUUACAUUAAAUUUAAUAUUUAUCAAGUGUUUAUUGAGAAAAUUUAAUUUUUAUAAAUUAAUAAUGUUUAUAUUAUUUUAUUAAAUUAUAGAGUAAUUAGCUUAACUAUAUUAUAAUAUUUUUAAAAUGGUUUAUUUUAAAAAAUAUUGUCUUUAAUAUUUACUAGAUUUUAUAUAUUUGCACUUAUAUUUUAUAUUAUAUUUAUUUAGUGGUUUGCGUAUUUAAUGUUUUCUGUUAAAUGUCUAAUUUAGAUAUAAAUUUUACAAAAUAAUAUACAAAUAUUUAAAUUGUAUAAUAAUUAUAGAAUGAUUGAAUAUUGUGUACCAAUUCUUGAUAAUAUAUUUAUACAGGCGUGGUCGGAUGGUACAUUGGAUUAAGAAGAUGCUAGACAACUAAAAUUUGAAAUAUGGUCUAUUUAUGUAAACUAUGUAUGAUCAAAAAAUAUUUUAAAUGAUUUGUCUCGCGGUUUUUGGGAUCAUUUGGGUCUUUAGAUUUCGACCAUCUUACCUAGGUCUGGGAAAAAUUAACGGGAACCAAAAACCAAACCGUCCCGAACCGAAAUUAUCAGAUCCGAAACCGAACUGAAAAACAUAAUAACCCGAACGGUUUCUAUCUUAAAAUAUUGCGGAUACCCGGACCAAACCGGAACUAAAUUGAUAAUCGAAUGAGUAUUUUUGGGUACCCGAAAUAUAAUACAUAUUUAAAAUAUUACUUAUAUUUAGAUUUAAAUAACUAAAAUAUUUAAAUUAUGUUAUAAAUCCAAAAAUUAUUUAAUUACUUUUGUACUAAGUACUAAAAUAUUCAGAUUUCAUUAGUUAUAAUUUUUAAAUUAAAAAAUAUUUUAUAAACUUUAAAGUUUUUAAAAAAAUUAAGUAUUUCAAGUAUUUUUUGGGUAACUCGAAUACUUUUUAUUUGGGUAAUUCAGGUAGACUGGUCAUUUUUAGAUACUUUUGGGUAGAUUGAGUACAAAAGUAACCAGAACCGAACCGGACCUGAUAAUUUUUGAGUAGCUACCGGUUCCUGAUGUUAUUAUAUGUUCUAAAGCGAAACCAACCGAUCCAAACCGAUUUUUGGACGGUUCCUGUUUGGUUACCUGAAGUCCAAAACCGAAAAAUCCGAAACCCGAAUUAAUCAAACCGAAACCAAAGCAAAAAUCGAAUGCCCAUGCCUAACCUUACCUAGGAAAAUAGUGAUAAUGAUGAUGAUUGGUAAAUGUUUUAGAAAUGCUGUAGAAUUUUCAUUAGUAACCUUUUUUUCUUAAGUAUAAAAAUAUUUUCCAAUCAUGCUUUACAAAGAUUUAUAAAACUACAAUAUUUUUUUAUUUUAGAAAACAAAAUACAUAGAACACUUAUGUAUUGGCUUUAGAAAAUUUACAAGUAAAUAAUUAAAUCUCCUCAUAUCUACAACUGAAAUUCUUCCCAAAAAUUUAUACAGUUACUUUGCUCAAAAAAUAAAUGAAUUAAUGAGUUACAACAAAAAAAAAAAUAACGUUAAUUCUACAAUAAAAUAUAUAAAGGUACGGCUCUUUCCGAUCAAUCCAAAUAAACUAAUCAAAGGCCCUAUUUCAAGUUUUCAACAUUAAUAAACGUGCCACAUCAGUUUAUAUUUUUCGACAAGUUUUCGGAAAAGGCAACUAAAUAUAAAUAAAAUAAAACUUGAUAAAAAGGAGUCGAAUAUCCCCUGUAGUUCCCCUGAUAAUUAUAAAAUCAAUGUCUGUCACUUCUAGACAAGUCAAUUUAAUUUCCCUGACCGGAAAAUCCAAAGCACGGUCGUGGUCUCGGAUUCAGAAAAAGAAAAGAGAGAGAAGAUGAGUUCAAGAUCUGACCUUACAAUCAUGCGUGUUUGCUUCAUAAUCUUCUUGCUUGGAGUUCUUGUUGAGCUAUGUGAUGGAGGGAUUACCAGUGGAUAUGUUAGAAGCAGGGGCGGACGCAGGUAGUAACUAGGUGUGGCAUGUGCCCACACUGUUUUUUUUUUGUUUUUUUCCUUAAUAACUAAUGUUUAAUUUAUUUAAGUGCCCUGGAUCAAAAUAUUUGUUAUAUAUGUGCAUGCCCAUAUUAAACAAAAGGCUGGAUCCGCCCCUGGGACUACUUAGAGGAAGUGAUUUACCUGACGACAUGCCAUUAGACAGCGAUGUCUUUUUACCUGACGACAGGCCAUUACACAGCGAUGUCUUUUUACCUGAUCAAAAAACAAAAGACAGCGAUGUCUUUGUACCUGACGACAUGCCAUUAGACAGCGAUGUCUUUAAAGUUCCCCCCGGUCCUAACACUCCCCAACAGGUUCAUAUAACGCAAGGUAACCAUGAAGGCAAUGGAGUGAUUAUUUCAUGGGUGACUCCUUCUGCGCCCUGUUCUA